CCUACGGGUGGCAGCAGUGGGGAAUAUUGGACAAUGGGCGAAAGCCUGAUCCAGCCAUGCCGCGUGUGUGAAGAAGGCCUUCGGGUUGUAAAGCACUUUCAGUGGGGAAGAAAGCCUUGGGGCUAAUACCCUCGAGGAAGGACAUCACCCACAGAAGAAGCACCGGCUAACUCCGUGCCAGCAGCCGCGGUAAUACGGAGGGUGCGAGCGUUAAUCGGAAUUACUGGGCGUAAAGCGCGCGUAGGCGGUCUGAUAAGCCGGUUGUGAAAGCCCCGGGCGCAACCUGGGAACGGCAUCCGGAACUGUCAGGCUAGAGUGCAGGAGAGGAAGGUAGAAGUCCCGGUGUAGCGGUGAAAUGCGUAGAGAGCGGGAGGAAUACCAGUGGCGAAGGCGGCCUUCUGGACUGACACUGACGCUGAGGUGCGAAAGCGUGGGUAGCAAACAGGAUUAGAUACCCUAGUAGUC
rnacentral:rRNA from 1 species